rnacentral:rRNA from 1 species
UACGGAGGGUGCAAGCGUUGCUCGGAAUUAUUGGGCGUAAAGCGCACGCAGGCGGCAGAAUAAGUCAGUUGUGAAACUCCCGGGCUUAACUUGGGAACUGCAGCUGAUACUGUCCUGCUUGAGUACGGAAGAGGGGAGCGGAAUUCCCAGUGUAGAGGUGAAAUUCGUAGAUAUUGGGAGGAACACCAGUGGCGAAGGCGGCUCACUGGCCCGGUACUGACGCUGAGGUGCGAAAGCGUGGGGAGCAAACAGG